GCCAGGCAUGGUGGUGCAUACCUGUGGUCCCAGCUACUCGGGAGGCUGAGGCAGGAGAAUUUCUUGAGCCCAGGAGAUCAAGGCUGCAGUGAGCCAUGAUCGCACCACUGCACUCCAGCCUGGACAACAAAGCGAGACCCUGUCUCAA
ensembl:misc_RNA Metazoa_SRP Metazoan signal recognition particle RNA